rnacentral:lncRNA from 1 species
AAGAGGCCAUAAUCUUCAUAUUUUACAAAACGGAAAAGUAUUUAAUCUAAACCACAUAACGUUGGCGAUGUUGAAGAAUUCGCCGGGCCAGUGAUACUAUUUAGAUACGUGUGAGGAUUUUCAGGUUCUUGAUAAGUUCGCUGCAACUCCCGGACGAACUCGGGAGAGGAGAAGGUCGAGAGUCAUGCAUCCUCAAAAACAUGACCCUGCCAAUUCUCACUACUUCUUGACUCACUGCUUGCUUAACCCGGAAGCCAGCCACACCAAUGUGUCCGAGGAAACGCUGUACAACUGGUGACCGUGUCAGCGUGCAUGCGCCUGGCCUGCCACAGGAGUCGCUAGAGCGUGAGGGGAUAAGGACAUCCUGGCGGGCCAAACCCUCCUCUAAAGCGGACGAUGCUGGGCCAAUUGUGUGCCGCCUCAUGGGUCUCCUGGUGACGGCCGGCUGGGACACAGCCCGUGAUCGAAUCCCGGUCAGUAGUGACGCCUCAAGCACUACGAUGCAGUGCCUUAGACUGCUGCACCACUCAGGAGUCCUUGCCUGUGUUUUUAUCCUCAAUAACUCCUUAGUCCUUGCCGAUGACAAGCAUACCUAUAACAUGAUGUAACCACCACCAUGCUUGGACAUAUGAAAAGUGCUACUCAGGGAUGUGUUGUAUUGCAUUUUCCCCAAACAUUAAUGCUUUGUAUUCAGGACAUAGUUAAUUUAUUUUACCACAUUUUUUGCAGUUUUACUUUAGUGCUUUAUUGCAAAAAGGAUGCAUGUUUUGGAAUAUUUGUUAUUCUGUACAGGCUUCCUUAUUUUCACUCUGUCAUGUAGGUUAGUAUUGUGGAGUAACUACAAUGUUGUUGAUCCAUCCUCAUUUUUCUCCUAUAACAGCCAUUAAACGCUAACUGUUUUAAAGUCACCAUUGGCCUCAUGGUGAAAUCCCUGAGCGGUUCCCUGCCUCUCCGGCAACUGAGUUAAAAAGGGUGCCUGUAUCUCUGUAGUGACUGGGUGUAUUGAUACACCAUCCAAAGUGUAAUUAAC